GUGGGGAAUAUUGGGCAAUGGGCGCAAGCCUGACCCAGCAACGCCGCGUGAAGGAAGAAGGCUUUCGGGUUGUAAACUUCUUUUACCAGGGACGAAACAAAUGACGGUACCUGGUGAAUAAGCCACGGCUAACUACGUGCCAGCAGCCGCGGUAAUACGUAGGUGGCGAGCGUUAUCCGGAUUUAUUGGGUGUAAAGGGCGUGUAGGCGGGACAGCAAGUCAGAUGUGAAAACCAGAGGCUCAACCUCUGGCCUGCAUUUGAAACUGUUGUUCUUGAGUGUCGGAGAGGUAAUCGGAAUUCCGUGUGUAGCGGUGAAAUGCGUAGAUAUACGGAGGAACACCAGUGGCGAAGGCGGCCUGCUGGACAUUAACUGACGCUGAGGCGCGAAAGCGUGGGGAGCAAACAGGAUUAGAUACCCCAGUAGUCC
rnacentral:rRNA from 1 species